rnacentral:rRNA from 1 species
GACGAACGCUGGCGGCGUGCUUAACACAUGCAAGUCGAACGGAAAGGCCCUGCUUUUGUGGGGUGCUCGAGUGGCGAACGGGUGAGUAACACGAGAGUAACCUGCCCUUGACUUUGGGACAACUUCAGGAAACUGGGGCUAAUACCGGAUAGGAGCUCCUGCUGCAUGGUGGGGGUUGGAAAGUUUCGGCGGUUGGGGAUGGACUCGCGGCUUAUCAGCUUGUUGGUGGGGUAGUGGCUUACCAAGGCUUUGACGGGUAGCCGGCCUGAGUGGGUGACAGGCCACAUGGAGAAUAGUAUGCGGCCCAGACUGCUACAAGAGGCAGCAGUGGGGAAAAUUGCACAAUGGGCGGAAGCCUGGUGCAGCAACGCCGCGUGCGGGAUGACGGCCUUCGGGUUGUAAACCGCUUUCGCCUGUUACGAAGCGUGAGUGACGGUAAUGGGUAAAGAAGCACCGGCUAACUACGUG